GAUGAACGCUGGCGGCGUGCCUAAUACAUGCAAGUCGAACGCAUAGCGAAAGGUGCUUGCACCUUUCAAGUGAGUGGCGAACGGGUGAGUAACACGUGGACAACCUGCCUCAAGGCUGGGGAUAACAUUUGGAAACAGAUGCUAAUACCGAAUAAAACUUAGUGUCGCAUGACACAAAGUUAAAAGGCGCUUCGGCGUCACCUAGAGAUGGAUCCGCGGUGCAUUAGUUAGUUGGUGGGGUAAAGGCCUACCAAGACAAUGAUGCAUAGCCGAGUUGAGAGACUGAUUGGCCACAUUGGGACUGAGACACGGCCCAAACUCCUACGGGAGGCUGCAGUAGGGAAUCUUCCACAAUGGGCGAAAGCCUGAUGGAGCAACGCCGCGUGUGUGAUGAAGGCUUUCGGGUCGUAAAGCACUGUUGUAUGGGAAGAACAGCUAGAAUAGGAAAUGAUUUUAGUUUGACGGUACCAUACCAGAAAGGGACGGCUAAAUACGUG
rnacentral:rRNA from 1 species